UACGUAGGGUGCAGGCGUUAAUCGGAAUUACUGGGCGUAAAGAGUGUGUAGGCGGUGUUCUAAGUUUGUCGUGAAAUCUCCCGGCUUAACUGGGAGGGUGCGGCGAAAACUGGAAUGCUAGAGGAUGGGAGAGGUAAGCGGAAUUCCUGGUGUAGCGGUGAAAUGCGUAGAUAUCAGGAGGAACACCUGUGGUGUAGACAGCUUACUGGACCAUUUCUGACGCUGAGACACGAAAGCGUGGGUAGCAAACAGG
rnacentral:rRNA from 1 species